rnacentral:rRNA from 1 species
UACGUAGGUGGCAAGCGUUGUCCGGAUUUAUUGGGUUUAAAGGGUGCGUAGGUGGCCCUGUAAGUCAGUGGUGAAAUAUCUCAGCUUAACUGAGAGGGUGCCAUUGAUACUGCAGGGCUUGAGUACAGAUGAGGUAGGCGGAAUUGACGGUGUAGCGGUGAAAUGCAUAGAUAUCGUCAAGAACACCGAUAGCGAAGGCAGCUUACCAAGCUGUAACUGACACUGAGUCACGAAA